UGGGAGGAGACCAGGAGAACCAGGACACCAUGGAGUGAUGAAGAGAACACCCUCCUCUCCCUCUGUCCCUCUUCAUCUCUCUCUCUCUGUCUACAUGGGAGGAGACCAGGAGAACCAGGACACCAUGGAGUGAUGAAGAGAACACCCUCCUCUCCCUCUGUCCCUCUUCAUCUCUCUCUCUCUCUACAUGGGAGGAGACCAGGAGAACCAGGACACCAUGGAGUGAUGAAGAGAACACCCUCCUCUCCCUCUGUCCCUCUUCAUCUCUCUCUCUGUCUG
ensembl:lncRNA